UACGAAGGGGCUAGCGUUGCUCGGAAUUACUGGGCGUAAAGCGCACGUAGGCGGUCUUUAAGUCGGGGGUGAAAUCCUGGAGCUCAACUCCAGAACUGCCUUCGAUACUGGAAGACUUGAGUCCGGGAGAGGUGAGUGGAACUGCGAGUGUAGAGGUGAAAUUCGUAGAUAUUCGCAAGAACACCAGUGGCGAAGGCGGCUCACUGGCCCGGUACUGACGCUGACGGUGCGAAAGCGUGGGGAGCAACAGG
rnacentral:rRNA from 1 species